rnacentral:pre_miRNA from 1 species
UGGUUUUGUCUGAAGUCAAACUUUCUUAAGUUUGACCAAAUUUAUAUAAAAAAUUAUCAAUUUUUAUAAUACCAAAUAAACAUACUAUGAAAAUAUAUUUCAUCAUAAAUCUAAUGAUACUUAUUUGGUUUCAUAAAAAAUAAUAAUCUUUUGUAUAAAUUUGGUCAAACUGAAGAAAGUUGACUUCAGACAAAACCAA